CCAAGUAGGUCUAUCUGCAGCCGCAGCCACGCAGCAGAAGACGCCUACAGCAUGACACGCCCACGGCACAACAGGCCCAUUACUCGUGUGACAUGAUGUAUUUGCAAAAAAAAUGUAUUCUCUUAUGUUUCUAGUAAAACUUCAAUCAAAACAAUCAAUUUUUCCUGUCUUUUUUUUUCAGGUUACAAUAUCUAUAAAUGCCACCUUGGCUGUGUGGCGAUCAGCCAUUUUCAUUGUUGCUCAUGCCCAUUAUUGUUGAAAAAAAGGAGAAUAUUUCCUUAACCACCUGAAAAAACCUUCUGCAUGAAGACUGCGACCAUGAUGGCUUCGGCUCUGGCGGUGACCACGAUGUCUUCGGCUCUGACUGGGGCUUUGGCGGCAGCGACCACGACAAUGCCUGCAGCGACCAUGAAGAAAAAUGUGCCGUAUCUGGUACAUUUUACCGAUAUCCGGAGUGGACAGAGGGGCUGCAUAAUUUUAAUGAUCGAGUGAUUUUGACUCAUCAUUUCUGCCUUUUUCUGAGGAACUCUGUACAGGUACCACAAUGUACCAUGAUUCCAUACUUCAUGGGUACCUUUAUUUUGAAGCCAUGUCAUCACAUGAAUACGCUUUCCCUUGUUUAAACUGUGGGGAUCAUCCUCCCGUUGUUGUUAUGGAUUUGCACAAGAAGGGAGUCUCCAGCAUUCCAAGUGAGUGGUUAUUUUUUCACAUUAUUUGUGGGGUAAGUUACUUUGACGACUGUUUGUCUUUCAGUGAGGGACCUUCAAGAGCCACCACCUGAAUUUGAUGGGCGGGUUGACAUUGAAGACUUCUGGCAUUCUGUUAGCCAAGAGAUCCUUUGCUGGGGCUUUGUAGAGAGUAACACUGAAAACCCAUGUGUGGUGUCCCCAUCCUAUGAUAAACGGGCACCGUGGAUAGGUUGUCCGACUAGGAACAGCAACAUUGUGUGUAAUACUGAAUAUAUGAAGGGCAAAGGCAGGAAACAGUCCAAGGUGCUAGAGCAGGGAUAUGUCAAUAUCACAGAGGAGGGAUUGACCGAUGAUGGUCGAUGCAGUACAAAACUUGGUAAAACACUGUGGUCUCGACCCCUCUGGAUCAAAAAUGGAUCUUCUCAUUCGCUGAAAUGCCGCAGUACUAAUGACAAGGUGUUCCAAAAGGUUGUGCCCCCGUGGUAUUGUGAAUGCUGUUAAAUUCAAUAUAAGAGCAGAAAGUCCACGGGAUUAUGCUGACAUGCUACUGUCCUUUAAGCACCUGCCAAAUGUGGUGAUCUAUGACUUUGCCAGAGGUUAGGUGACUCACACCAACUUGCCUGAGCCAGAAAAAAUACCCUUCAGGCCAAAUGAAGGAAGACUGGCUGAAGCCACACCAGAAAAUCUGAAGUCUGCUCAGAAAGGUGAAAUGGAAAUAAAACUGCCCUGGCUGAAGAUGAGAAAGGAGCACGCAGGCACAAAUGCAUACCCGACUACAGGAUCUGCAGACCACUAUGCACUAUAUGGCACUUUUAAUCAGGCAAACACUAAAGAGCCUAAAGAUUGCCUAAGAAAAAUUGGCCUUGUCCCCGAACUCUGUGGCUGGGUGAACUCUCAAACAGCUGAACAGUUUUUCUCAAAAAUGAGAAAAAAACAACUACUUUCUGAACAUGAUGUCUCCAGGGAGACAUCUCUUUGUCAUGCGAUGCAUAAUUCAUGAUUGAAAAGACCCUGACAGACCUCAGAUAAAUCUUAUCAGAGGACAUGGCUCAUGAUCAGACUGAAAAAGGCUGUAGUAGCAACUGCAUGGUUUUCAAGUGGCACUUCAGCUCCAGCACAUUCCAAAGUGCAAUUGGAACCGCACAGCCGCCUGGACCAAUGUUCAGACAAAUGUGAAGCCUUAACAAUCAUGUCAUCACUCAAGCCCUGCAGAGCCUCAUGGACCCUAAAGGGUUAUCACCCCCUUCAGAAGCAGCUGAUCAACUAUGUCCUGGAUACUAAAAGGCCAGGUGAGGAGCUCAUCAUCAAAGAUGGACCGACUUGCCUGUUAAGGUCUAACAUGUUGACACUUGGACUUCAAGGUUACAACUGUCCAUUGUUAUGGUGAAGGUCGGACAUUUUCUCAUUGCCAGCCAUCAUGUACCGCCAACGUGGCUCCCUCCCUCCAACUGUGAUCCUCUACUGCAUUUCCCAGAUGACAUGUCUUUCCUGAGAUGGUGGUGGUGUGUUUUCCUGGUGAAAAACCUUGGACUGGAGGGGUAUGGGAGGAAGUUUUCCCACUUUACAGAAGAAGGCAGAGCAACCCUCCGAGACAAUGUCCCACUUUUCUUCAGGAUCACACGUAAAAGGAGACAUUCAAGCUACACCGUGAUGCCAUUGGACACUGAGGAGGACCAUGCUUACAGCAAGAGGCCUUACAGCUUUCCUUCUAAAGAGCUGGACAGUGAUGUUACCAUGGACAAAGAUGCCAUCAGUCUGACUGACAACAUAUCUCUCAAGACUCUUGUGGAAAGGUCCCAACAAUCUCAGCACCAACAACAAGAGCUUAGUAGCUCUUUAAUAGAAUUCUUCACUGAGAACAAAGGCCUACUGCAUGACUUGAAAAAAUCAUCACAGGAAAAGUGCUAUCUCCUUGGGAGAGGACAAGAUGAUGACCAGUUGGACCAAGUGUUGUGCUUCUUGUCUGAAGUCUUUGAAAGAAAUCAGACAGAGGAUGUUUGCCAAUAUGGUGGCAUUCAUCAUGGAUGUUCUUCUGCCAGAGGCAACAAUCCACACUCUGGCAGCGGUGAAGUUAGUCUGUCUCGACAAAGCGAAGGAACUGUAUGAAUGUGGACCUGAGUAUGACUGGAGUGAGAACCAACUCCUUGCCGAUGACCUCAGUAAAAAUAUGGGUGAAGAGGCAACAGAGAAGCUUAAGGACUUAACAAAAAAACUCAAAAGAGCUUUGGAGUCAGAGGACUUUUUAAACCGCCUUUGAGAACACUGAGUGGAGAGGCACAGAAUCAAAGUAAAAUAACCAGCCCCUACUGAAUAAGGAAAUUAAAGAAAAGAAUAACCUUGGCCUCCACCUCCUGCUCAUACUCAGCCAAAUGCUUCAAAACUCCUUGGACAGUGCUUCACAGUGGAAAUGGACGAUGUUAUGAUGUGUUUUUCUCUGCAAUGAUGAAAUAGCGUAUCAUUUAAACUUCCGUGUCCAUUAAUGGUAAAGAUGUUUUGGAGAGCCGAAGAGCAACAUUGAGAAGGUACUUGGAUGUGUGGAGAGGUCAACAGGUCAAGACUGGAGACGCCAUCAGGCUACAUGCUGCAGUAUUUUCAGUCAUCCAUGGUCAACUGGAAAUAGAUGCAGAAGUUCACUUUAUGACCACAUCGGAAUCAACAAGCCUAUAUAACACAGGUCCAAGCUUGGGGAUAUGUAGUCAUUCACUCUGUGGUGACUCCGGACUCUCGAGUUCGUUAUGUGUUAUCCUAACUCACAUUCUGUGAUGGCUCCAGGCGUUAAGCUCGUCAAUUGUCAUGUUAUUCAUGUUAUUUGUUCAUUUAUCAUUCUCAUUUAUCAUUCUUUGUUACCGUAAUUCUUUGUCAUUGAUCAUUGAUUGUCAGUAAACUAUUCAUCCGAUAGAUCAUGCUGUGGAUCCUGUGCUUAUCACUGAUGCUGAAAGUCAUCCUUGGGGAAUUCAUAAUAACAGACAAUGAACCGAAGCAUACUACAAAAGCAAAUUUUUAAGGCAAAGAAGUGGAAUGUUCUGAAAGCUGUCCAAAGAACAAGCAGGAACUGUAGAAAGCUGCAGUAAAGGCCUAGCAGAGCAUCAACAGGGACUAAACCCAGCAUCUGGUGAUGUGUAUGGGUUCCAGACUUCAGACUUUUAUUGACUGCAAAGGAUUAACAAUUUAAAGUGAUAUUUUAAUUUGUGAUGUGUUACUUUGUGCUGAACACAGUCAAAAUAACGACAAUUUUGUCAUCGUCCAGAUAUACACUGUUGCCCAUAAAGUUGGAAUAAUUUUGUUUUCAGACUCAUUCCUCUUUUCAUUCUUAUCUAUACUCAUCAGUAAUCAACUUUUGACCAGGUGCAAUGAUUAAAUACUGAGUCCCAGUUACCUUGGUGAAGCAAAUUCAUGCUUAACAAUUGUUUGGCGCUAUAAAAGGCAAGACAUCCGCUGUGUUGUACUUUUCCUGCUUAAAGUCUGUAUGCAGUAAGUCCAGGUUUUCAGAAUUAGCUAUCAAAUUUGACACAGAACUUCCCUAGGCUAUGCCUCGUCCGACGCAACUGGCAAUAGGCUACUCCGACAGGACGGACACAAACAAGCCAACAUUGCUGAUUUCCUUGGAAUAAUAACAGUUUACAAAGGUUAAUUGUAGUUUAAUUUUCACUGUGAUAUGUUUAUUGAUCAAUAAAGUUUGAGAAGAUAUACACUAUCUAUCAAGAGUAAAUCACAUUGUCACAAUCAUUUCAUGUGAAGAGGUAAAAAAGAUUUUAUUCCAACUUUAUGGGCGACCUAACUGUGCUCUUCAGAAGUUUGACUUUUAUGUAUCAUAAAUCCGUUUUUUUGGACUGAUUUUAUGAAAUAUGCUAAUAUUUUGAGAUACUGGAUUUUUGAUUUCCUGAACAAUAAGCCAUAAUUAUCAAAAUGAAAACCACAAAA